rnacentral:rRNA from 1 species
UACGUAGGCAGCAAGCGUUGUUCGGAGUUACUGGGCGUAAAGGGUGUGUAGGCGGUUCUUUAAGUUUGGGGUGAAAUCUCCCGGCUCAACCGGGAGGGUGCGCCGAAUACUGAGGGACUAGAGUACGGGAGAGGAAAGUGGAAUUCCUGGUGUAGCGGUGAAAUGCGUAGAUAUCAGGAGGAACACCGGUGGUGUAGACGGCUUUCUGGACCGUAACUGACGCUGAGACACGAAAGCGUGGGUAGCAAACAGG